AGACCAUUUCCUUUUUUCUUCUUCUCCUUCUUUUUCCCCCCUCCCCUGCGUCACCCAGACCUUCCAUUUUCUUUCUUUCGUCUCCUUCUUUUUCCCCGCUACCCUGCGUCACCUAGACCUCUCCAUCGUCGGAACCAGAGCGUUUUGGGAGAUUGUGAAAGGCCUCUGCAAUCCAUCAGAUCUGCUUCUUCUUCUUCUUCUUCUUCUGCUUAUUUCUCUUGAGCCACUGCAUCAGAUCGGCUUUUGUUUUUCUUCCACUACAUCUGAAAAUGGGAACGACUGCGAAGUCUACGAGUCGGGCGAGCCGAGUGCUCAAUAAGACACUCGACUCGUCAAAAAACCGAGCUCGAGCUCGAGCCUGGACAUGAUUUUACUCUUAGUGAGCCGAGCCGAGUUCCAUAUUUAAUACCCGUCACGAGCUCGAGCCGAGCUCGAGCUCAUAAACUUUCUUAACGAGCCGAGCUUGGACAACUACUACUCGCCCGAGCUCGGCUCGUAUACAUGGCUAAAGACAUGCCAAAGAUCACUAGUAGAUGAACUAGACACAAGUGAAGAUCCGUUGCUUUUUUCAACUGAUGUGCAGCAUGACCAAGUGAUUGAAACACAAAAUAGUGUACUUACACAGACUUUCGGGAAUUCACAGUCAUCAUGUAUUUUGGAAGGAGAUUUUAUAUACUUGUCGUAAGUGACUUGUUUCUUGCCCUGGAUAAAGAUAUGAAUGGAACAUUGAGCAAGCAGGAGCUUCAACACCAGUUUCUACAUUAUUUUCCUACUUUUUCUAUGUAAAUUUGGAUUUCACUUUCUGUAGUAAAUUAUCUUAUGGAUAGCUCAGUUUUUCGCGGACACUUGAGUUACUCCUCUAUG